UGUUGGUUCUCCCGCAACGCUACUCUGUUUACCAGGUCAGGUCCGGAAGGAAGCAGCCAAGGCAGAUGACG
rnacentral:SRP_RNA from 1 species